UCAUAAUGGAAGAAAAUAAAUGAUGAUGAUUAAAAGAGAUGUAGGAAUUGGGCCUGGUAUUACAUCCUGGCCCAGAUUCUGAGUAUUUUAACCACGUGGGAUUAGGCCCAUCGCUCUAAAUAGAGCCGGAACUUAAGAAGAGAAAUUUUCCCUAAGCCACGGAAGAAAGGAACUAUAUUAAGCCGUGUUGAAAUAAUUUUCGAUAAGGAAUUAAAGCGGACUUUAUUAGUCACAAAAAGUAUUUUAAAAAUACUUAAGAAAUCCGGAAAUUUUAUACCCGAUCGGGUCAGCCGGUUUCAGAACAAAUUAAAUCGCCGAUUUAAUUAAAUAUUUAAGACUUCUAAUUUUAGAAGACAGAAAUUUAAAACAAUAAGCACACGCUUAGGCAUGCAUUCAUGCAAGAUUGAAUGAUUACUCAAAGCCUAAUUUAAGUACAUUAUUUUUUUGAAAAGGGACGUCGUCGCUCGACGAGUAAAUCUCAAGUCAGACAGUACCCGUUUGAAAAGGUUAAGCAAACGAGGUUGAUCGAUCGAGGCAGAGGAGGUGUUGGGACUGAAGAUAAAAUAAAAGAAGGGUAGCUAGUGUAGUAUGUCUCCAUACAUGUUAUACUUGUCUUGGAACUCUUCCGCUGCAUAGACCUAGCUUUGUCUCAGUAAAGACAAUGUCCCACUUUUCACUCUGAUGUAAUAACUUGCUAUCUUGAUGACUUUUAGACAGUAUUUCCUUAAUUUCAGUAAUUAUGAUGA